CUCCAGCGCUGCCGUGCAGCUCACUCUGGUGGCCGGACCCCCGCGAUCAGACAUCUUAAGAUGUCGUAGGGCCGGAGUACCCCUUUAAUAUGGGGAGGACAGUAAAUGGAGAUCUGUUUAAAGCUCAGGCUGUGGGAAAUGUGACCUUGGUGUUUGGGAAGAGCUGGAACGCCUUAGUGAAAUGGAGAGCCUAGACUAUUCAUCUUUAUCAUUUAUUGUUGUUUUACAACCGCUGGAGCACGGCAGGUUGGAGAUCACCUUCCUUCACCAAGCAGCAUAGAUUUAAACAAUACUUGCUAACUGCAGCACUUGACAAGUGGUUCGCCAUUCUGCGGUGCCGCCAGUGUCCUGCUAGCGUAAUGCUUAUGCCCAGAGUGAUGAUGUGGCCCAGUGUGUCAUACUGCUGCUCAACCAAACACUGGCCACAACAAUAUCCUGC